rfam:Gossypium hirsutum cultivar TM-1 chromosome 11, whole genome shotgun sequence
UGUUAAAAAAAUAUCUAUUUCUAGUAUUAAAAAUUGGCAUGACUAACAAAAUAACUAAAUAGUGACCGUGGUGUGCCACAUGUACCAUCAUGCUAAAGUACAUGAACCAAUUUUUAAUAAUAAAAAUUGAUGAAAAUUUUAACA